rnacentral:rRNA from 1 species
AUGAACGCUGGCUACAGGCUUAACACCUGCAAGUCGAGGGGAAACGACGGGGAAGCUUGCUUCCCCGGGCGUCGACCGGCGCACGGGUGAGUAACGCGUAUCCAACCUGCCUCUGACUGAGGGAUAACCCGUCGAAAGUCGGCCUAAUACCUCAUGGCAUCGUCUGCGGGCAUCCAACGACGAUUAAAGAUUUCAUCGGUCAGAGAUGGGGAUGCGUCUGAUUAGCUUGUUGGCGGGGUAACGGCCCACCAAGGCGACGAUCAGUAGGGGUUCUGAGAGGAAGGUCCCCCACAUUGGAACUGAGACACGGUCCAAACUCCUACGGGAGGCAGCAGUGAGGAAUAUUGGUCAAUGGGCGAGAGCCUGAACCAGCCAAGUAGCGUGCAGGAUGACGGCCCUAUGGGUUGUAAACUGCUUUUAUGCGGGGAUAAAGUGAGGGACGUGUCCUUCAUUGCAGGUACCGCAUGAAUAAGGACCGGCUAAUUCCGUG